UAUUGGGUGACCGAAAGGUGAAGUUAAAGUGCCUAAUUGUUUUAUAAUGAAUCCUGAACAGGAAAAAAGUCAUUUUCGCACUUACUGGCUGUUAUUUCGGCCGAGUUUUAUCAAAUCUGAGCUUGGAUCUGUGAUGAAAUAUUAAGCGCCCUAUAUAAUCAGUGGGAGAUUGUUCUUGAGAAUAAUUUCAAAAGUGUCUGGAGGUGCCUUGAUCAGUUCGAAGGGCUUUAGGUCAAGGAUUUCGUUUGUAAAUCAAUACGAAAAUAUUCUAUUAUGAUCUCGUGACUCCUUGCGUGGCAAACUACACUUCUAGCCCCCAGGAUUGGUCAAAAAUGGAAUAUUCCAACCUUUAUUAAGAGCUGUGAGGGCAAAACUUCCCCCAUUUCGCAUGUGCGGGCAACUUACGCACACACAUUUUGCUGAGAAGCAAUCGGGAUAAAAGAGGGAUGGUUUAUACACAAGCGCCCCAAAGCCGAGAAACAUUAUGUUAUCGUGAAUCAAGCGCCAUGCAGAUAUAAACAGCCCUUGCUGCCCGCCCGAUUAACAGACAGCUCGACCUGAUGUUUUCACAAAAUCAUUCAACGGAUGAAGCAUGAGUGUACAGGAAUAUUCAAAAAGGAAAUUACAUGUAGGAGUAUUUACAGUUCGACCUGAUGUUUUCUCAUACACAUACAGUAUAGCCUCAAUAUAUCAUUCAACGUUUGGAGCGUGACUGUGUACUACAACUGUUUCAUUCACUAGUGUUUAUGACUUCAGGAAUUCUAAAGGGAAUUACAUGUAAGACUGAGUAUUUGUAAGUACAAUAUAUAAUCAUUCAUAAAAAGUAUAUACAACAACAACUGUAUGCCCGUGCACGCGCUGGAAAAAAACUUAAGUUUCUUCCAUAACCCCCAUAAAGCUGAAUGAAUGAUACAAUAGUUAGUUCCAUCAAACAGGUUAUAUUUCACUUUGACCUUAUAGAGUCUUCAUUUUUUGAAAAAUACAAGUUUGAAAUCUAUCACUUUUCCAAAAAAUAUUUCCAAACAGUUAAAGACGGUUAUGUUACGCGACGUUUUACUGACAUUUCCUACCGGGUUAGUAAGAAAUUACACAUUACUUUGCAUCUGCGAAAAAAUAUAGGCGCUUGGCUUGAAAGCGAAAAUUUCAAGAAACUUUAUGAACACAUUUUGAAAGAAAUACAUUCUUGUUUGACACCACAGCCGCCAAGACGAAAGCUUAAAUUCAAAGGGAGAAUUGUUAAUAUUCAAGGUAAUUUUCCAAGCAGUGCGUUAACUUCUUGUUUUAGACAACGCGACGUACAGUCGCUACUAUAUUUUAUCGAAUCGUUUUUUGCACCCGAGGCAGACAGGGGUGAAAGACCGCUUGUUAAAUUAGAUUCCGAGGCAACGGAAAAGCCGUCCAUGCGUGGUCUGAAAUUCAGAGACGCAGGAGCUCAUUUUCAGUUUUAUACCACUCGAUGUACUUUUGUUUUUACUAAAAUUGAGCUUUUUGCGGAGAAAACAAGAAUUGUCUUCGAAUUCUUGGAAGAAAAUCUGGUUGAUCAUGAAUUGAAAUUGCCAACAGACGAGGUCUCUCGGAUGAUCACAGACAAAUUCAUUUGCUUUUGAUGAUAACAGAAACAUCAUGACAGAAUUGAUUGAGGAUAUCAUUGCAAAAAUAGUCGCGGCUAUCGAGCCAUCAGAAGAAAAGUUCAUAAGAUUUACAAAAUGCAUUCGAAAAACGCUCAAACACUUUGACUCGUCAGAACGUCCCUCAUGGAUGAAGCUGAUUAAAAUCAUCAUCGAUACUCUGGGCGAUUUUACCAUUCAAAUAUCAGGUUAUCAUUUUGGAGGUUCGAUUAGGGGAGGGGCUAGUCCUUUGAAAGCAGAGGCCAGUUUAAGUAUUUCUAUUGCCCCAAAUGAUGUUGUAAAAGUCAUGAAAACUAGUUUAGAAUGCAGUAAUGAUGAGUAUGAUAGCGAGGAAGAGAGUGCGAUUAAAGCAAUUGAUGAUGGCUUCAAUAGAACUUCGAAUCAGAUUUAAAACAUACUUUCUGAGAACAAAAAACGAAAGGCAAAUAGUUGUUUUAUUGAUGAUACAGGCAAUGCCGUUGCGCACAAAAAAAUGUGUUCUAUUGAAAAUGAGAACGAAGAACGCGGCGCUGUUAGCUUGGAAGCCGAUUUGAACUUGUCCAGUGACGACGUGGAAACUGCGUCCGAAACCGAAUCGGAUGGAGUAGCAAGCCGGGGGGCCGCGGGUGCACAUGCAGUCGAAAAAUUAUCCCUGUCGAGUGGGUCUCUUUUUCCGAAAGCGUAUAAUGUAGAACAGGAUGUUAUCACUUGACGUAACCAGCUAAACGAACAACUUGCCUUCAAUGAUAUAAUCCCCCAACAAGCUGGAGCUUCCGCUCAUGAAUGCUGUUCAGGCGAUGAAAAAGCCUUCGUAAAAAAAUAUCUUCGUCCAAUAUUUGAGUCGAAAAAGAAUAGAUUAAAAUAUCCUCACAUUAUUGAAGAUUUUGUAAACAUUUGUUCUGUCCACGAAAAACAAAAGCUCGCUUUGAAAAAGAUAAAACCUUGGGCUGAAAAAUGCGAAAAAUACCACAAGGAUUUUGUUUCACGAAAGGCCUCUGUAGACAAACUCAUGGCGCGGGAAGAAAAAGCUGUCGAGAGUUUUAUUACGGGCAUAAAAAAAAUGAAGAAGCCAUGACAAAAUUUCACUGUUUCUUCGACCAAAAAACCACAGCUUUGCAAAGUUGUAAUGCCUGUCUAAUGCAUUGUUUGCCUGUUUUGACAGAAGCUAUCAAACCGUUUAGCGGGAAGCCAUGUGGAAAAGGACGUGGGGGCAAGAAAAAACAAUGACUUUUAACGAAAACAGGGAGGAGAAGGGCUCUUUUAAAAACAUCUUGCAAGAAGAGCUCCAUUCAAUACAUAUCAUCUACGAUCCGCGUGAAUACUGUAUUCCUUUGAGCGCGAAAAAACCCCCACAUCACAUACCAGAAAGAAUGACACUAGCACAGUAUGAAUUUUACCUUUACAAAAAACAUUUGGCAAAGAAAUACGCAAAUAAAACAAACGCGCGCAGCUUAAAACAAACUAACUCUUCGAUAAGAAAACAACAUUUCUAACGAAACAGACUGUAUCGCCCACUUAAUUAUCCUUCCGUGCGGUAACAUGCAUUUGACAGAUAUUCCUGCUCCCAAUGAUAGGCGGUGCCGUAAAUUUUAAAGGAUCACUGCCGGGAUCACUGUUGCUGUUGUUGUAUAUAUUUUUUUGUAAAUGAAUUAUAUAGCCUGUACUUUGAACAUAUGAAUACUGGUAUAUGAGUGAAAAGCAAUCGCUCCUGUUGUCUGUCUAUUAGAAAGGUACAUUCUCUUGUUUGUAUCAUGUAGCAGAGAAAGGCAAGAGGUCAGUUACCCAAUGUCUUCGCUCAUUAGAUAUUUUUUUGUGAGCUGUCGAAUCGUUUGUACGACCAACCGUUCUAUCAUUAUUUAUCAAUAUCGUGUCUACAAAACAAUAUGAAAUUUUACGAAAUUUAUCGGCCACGUAUCUGCAAAAAGUAAAAGAGCAGAGGCGUUAGUGUAUGUGUAUUACUAUGUACAUAAGUAUCAUCGUGUCUUUCUAUUGUAUUAUCCCGCUGUAUGUGUCUAUAUUUUCAUGCUGCAAAAAAAAAAGUGGCCUAAAAAUCAGUUGAAAUAAAUUGAAUUGAAUUGUAUUGAUAGACAAACCACAAGGGUGCCGCUAAGUGAAGACACGUUUUGAAAUUAAGAAAAUGUUCGCUGCUAAAAUUCCCUUUUUCUCAGUUGUUUAUAAGAUCAUGUUAGAGAUUGCCACUAAGAGUUCCCACUCCAGAGAAGGAGCAACGAAAUAAAAAGUGAAAACGAACAUGCAUGAUGCUCUUCAAUGUGUCAUGUUCAAUAUUGCUCUGUCCCUAUUUCUCUUCUGGAUUUGAAAAUGUGUACUUGGAAAUUAGAAAUAAAAAUGUU